rnacentral:rRNA from 1 species
CCUACGUGAGGCAGCAGUGAGGAAUAUUGGUCAAUGGACGAGAGUCUGAACCAGCCAAGUAGCGUGAAGGAUGACUGCCCUAUGGGUUGUAAACUUCUUUUAUAUGGGAAUAAAAUGUUCCACGUGUGUGAUUUUGUAUGUACCAUAUGACUAAGGAUCGGCUAACUCCGUGCCAGCAGCCGCGGUAAUACGGAGGAUCCGAGCGUUAUCCGGAUUUAUUGGGUUUAAAGGGAGCGUAGGUGGAUUGAUAAGUCAGUUGUGAAAGUUUGCGGCUCAACCGUAAAAUUGCAGUUGAAACUGGCAUUCUUGAGUACAGUAGAGGUGGGCGGAAUUCGUGGUGUAGCGGUGAAAUGCUUAGAUAUCACGAAGAACUCCGAUUGCGAAGGCAGCUCACUGGACUGCAACUGACACUGAGGCUCGAAAGUGUGGGUAUCAAACAGGAUUAGAUACCCCAGUAGUC